UACGGGGGGAGCAAGCGUUGUUCGGAUUUACUGGGCGUAAAGGGCGCGUAGGCGGCCACCGCAAGUCGACUGUGAAAUCUCCGGGCUUAAUCCGGAAAGGUCAGCCGAUACUGCGGGGCUAGAGUGCAGAAGGGGCAACUGGAAUUCUCGGUGUAGCGGUGAAAUGCGUAGAUAUCAAGAGGAACACCUGCGGCGAAGGCGGGUUGCUGGGCUGACACUGACGCUGAGGCGCGAAAGCUAGGGGAGCGAACGGG
rnacentral:rRNA from 1 species